rnacentral:rRNA from 1 species
UGGGGAUUAUUGCACAAUGGAGGGAACUCUGAUGCAGCGACGCCGCGUGAACGAAGAAGGCUUUCGAGUCGUAAAGUUCUUUUAUAUGGGAAGAUAAUGAUGGUACCAUAAGAAAAAGCCCCGGCUAACUACGUGCCAGCAGCCGCGGUAAUACGUAGGGGGCUAGCGUUGUCCGGAAUUACUGGGCGUAAAGGGUUGCAGGCGGAAAUGCAAGUCAGGUGUAAAAGGCAGUAGCUUAACUACUGUAAGCAUUUGAAACUGCAUAUCUUGAGAGGAGUAGAGGUAAGUGGAAUUUUUAGUGUAGCGGUGAAAAGCGUAGAUAUUAAAAAGGAUACCGGAGGGGAAAGCGACUUACUGGGCUCAUUCUGACGCUGAGGAACGAAAGCGGGGGUAGCAAACAGG